GAGUUUGAUCAUGGCUCAGAACGAACGCUGGCGGCAUGCCUAACACAUGCAAGUCGAACGGGAUCCGGACUUCGGUCCGGUGAGAGUGGCGGACGGGUGAGUAACGCGUGGGAACCUGCCCAAUGGUCUGGGAUAACCGCGGGAAACUGCGGCUAAUACCGGAUAAGCCCGAGAGGGGAAAGAUUUAUCGCCGAUGGAGGGGCCCGCGUCCGAUUAGGUAGUUGGUGAGGUAACGGCUCACCAAGCCGACGAUCGGUAGCUGGUCUGAGAGGAUGAUCAGCCACACUGGGACUGAGAUACGGCCCAGACUCCUACGGGAGGCAGCAGUGGGGAAUAUUGGACAAUGGGGGCAACCCUGAUCCAGCAAUGCCGCGUGAGGGAUGAAGGCCUUAGGGUUGUAAAGCUCUUUUGGCGGGGACGAUGAUGACGGUACCCGCAGAAUAAGCCCCGGCUAACUUCGUGCCAGCCGCCGCCGUAAU
rnacentral:rRNA from 1 species